rnacentral:rRNA from 1 species
AUUGAACGCUGGCGGCAGGCCUAACACAUGCAAGUCGAACGAGUGGCGGACGGGUGAGUAAUGUCUGGGAAACUGCCUGAUGGAGGGGGAUAAAUAAUGGAAACGGUAGCUAAUACCGCAUACCAUCGGAUGUGCCCAGAUGGGAUUAGCUAGUAGGUGGGGUAAAGGCUCACCUAGGCGACGAUUCCUAGCUGGUCUGCGAGGAUGACCAGCCACACUGGAACUGAGACACGGUCCAGACUCCUACGGGAGGAAGCAGUGGGGAAUAUGGCACAAUGGGAGCAAGCCGGAUGCAGCCAUGCCGCGUGUAUGAAGAAGGCCUUCGGGCUGUAAAGUACUUUCAGCGGGGAGGCGUUACCCGCAUAUGAAGCACCGGCUAACUCCGUGCCAGCAGCCGCGGUAAUUC